rnacentral:rRNA from 1 species
UACGUAGGGGGGCAAGCGUUGUCCGGAUUUAUUGGGCGUAAAGAGCGUGUAGGCGGCCUGAAAGGUCAGCUGUGAAAACUCGAGGCUCAACCUCGAGACGUCGGUUGAAACCAUCUGGCUAGAGUCCGGAAGAGGAGUGUGGAAUUCCCGGUGUAGCGGUGAAAUGCGCAGAUAUCGGGGAAGAACACCCGGUGGCGAAGGCGGCACUCUGGGACGGUACUGACGCAUGAGACGCGAAAGCGUUGGGGGAGCGAACAGG